AGUGAACGCUGGCGGUAGGCCUAACACAUGCAAGUCGAACGGCAGCACAGUAAGAGCUUGCUCUUAUGGGUGGCGAGUGGCGGACGGGUGAGGAAUACAUCGGAAUCUACUUUUUCGUGGGGGAUAACGUAGGGAAACUUACGCUAAUACCGCAUACGACCUACGGGUGAAAGCAGUGGAUCUUCGCACCUUGCGCGAAUGAAUGAGCCGAUGUCGGAUUAGCUAGUUGGCGGGGUAAAGGCCCACCAAGGCGCCGAUCCGUAGCUGGUCUGAGAGGAUGAUCAGCCACACUGGAACUGGGACACGGUCCAGGCUCCUACGGGAGGCCGCAGUGGGGAAUAUUGGACAAUGGGCGCAAGCCUGAUCCAGCCAUACCGCGUGGGUGAAGAAGGCCUUCGGGUUGGAAAGCCCUUUUGUGGGGAAAGAAAAGCAGCAGGUUGAUACCCCGCUGUUCUGACGGUACCCAAAGAAUAAGCACCGGCUAACUUCGUG
rnacentral:rRNA from 1 species